UCUCGAGUUGCUUCGUCUUCAGCUGGAUCGACGCAAGCUGUUCCGACUGAUAUUUGCAAUCUGCUCUGUCACUAUUUCGCUCUGCAUCUGCGCGAGAAAAUUCGUUUGUGAGAGGCUUUAAGAGCUCAGCUUCA
rnacentral:ribozyme from 1 species